GAUGAAGAACGUAGCGAAAUGCGAUACGUAAUGUGAAUUGCAGAAUUCAGUGAAUCAUCGAAUCUUUGAACGCAUAUUGCGCUCUCUGGUAUUCCUGAGAGCAUGCUUGUUUGAGUAUCAGUAAACACCUCAACUCCCUUUUCUUUUUUGAAAUUGGAGCUGGACUUGAGUGAUCCCAACGCUUUCUUCCAAGAAAGUGGCGGGUUGCUUGAAAUGCAGGUGCAGCUGAACUUUUCUCUGAGCUAUAAGCAUAUCUAUUUAGUCUGCCUAAAAAACAGAUUAUUACCUUUGCUGCAGCUAACAUAAAGGAGACUAGUUCUUGUGCUGACUGAUGCAGGAUUCACAGAGACAGCUUCGGCUGACUUUGUAAACUCGAUCUCAAAUCAAGUAAGACUACCCGCUGAACUUAAGCAUAUCAAUAAGCGGAGGA
rnacentral:misc_RNA from 1 species